rnacentral:rRNA from 1 species
AACGAACGCUGGCGGCAGGCUUAACACAUGCAAGUCGAGCGCCCCGCAAGGGGAGCGGCAGACGGGUGAGUAACGCGUGGGAACGUACCCUUUGCUACGGAAUAGCCCCGGGAAACUGGAAUUAAUACCGUAUGUGCCCUACGGGGGCAAGAUAUAUCGGCAAAGGAUCGGCCCGCGUUGGAUUAGCUAGUUGGUGGGGUAAUGGCCUACCAAGGCGACGAUCCAUAGCUGGUCUGAGAGGAUGAUCAGCCACAUUGGGACUGAGACACGGCCUACACUCCUACGGGAGGCAGCAGUGGGGAAUAUUGGACAAUGGGCGCAAGCCUGAUCCAGCCAUGCCGCGUGAGUGAUGAAGGCCUUAGGGUUGUAAAGCUCUUUCACCGGAGAAGAUAAUGACGGUAUCCGGAGAAGAAGCCCCGGCUAACUUCGCGCCAGCCGCCGCGGUAAGAC